UAACUACCAAAGAAGCAGAAGUGUCAUUACCUUGCAGCUCAUGUCGACAAAAAGCUACACUGCACAUUUCUCUUAGGCUGCUAAGAGGAAGGAAACACAAAACACACACACACACACACACACACACACACACACACACACACACACACACACACAGAGGCCUCGUUUUCUGCAUGUAAAAUGUGUGUGUUCUUUAAAAGCCAGUGGUUGGCUGGUUUUCCGGACAUGAUGUGGUUGAAGCUGUCAUCGUAAUGGAAAUUCAUUGCUGUAGCUAUGGUAAAUCGAGUUUUCUGCCUGUGCUGAAUGCAUUAGUCUAAUGAGAUGUUUGCAGCUGGAGCGCAGGGCUGCUGGAGACUAACUGUGAGCUACUAACACGGGUGGAAGAUAGCUUUUGCAAUACUCGGUUUGCAUGUGCUGAAAGUCAUCUGUCUUCUGAGUCAACACUCCCGACCUGGUAAACAACCUGCUCAGGGCUCUGGUGAACAAGCUGUAGAGACGGGGUUUCAUCAUGUUGCCAGGCUGGUCUCGAACUCCUGAACUCAAGCCAUCCUCCUGCCUCCACCUUCCAAAGUGCUGGGACUAUAAGCAUGAGCCACCAUGCCCAGCCUAUAUUUAUAUUUUUAACAAUAAACAUGAUUUGAAUUUAUAAAUGUGACAUAAAGUUUCAUUAAAAUGUAUUUAUUUAAAUAGACCAUUUAAAGAUUUAGUAAAUAUUAGGAAUGCAGGAGGUGUACUAGUUAGGGU
rnacentral:lncRNA from 1 species